UCCCUGGUGGUCUAGUGGUCAGACUGCGGCGCUCUUAACGCUGCGUCCCGGGUUCGAUCCCCGGUCAGGGAA